rnacentral:rRNA from 1 species
AGAACGAACGCUGGCGGCAGGCUUAACACAUGCAAGUCGAACGCUCCGCAAGGAGAGUGGCAGACGGGUGAGUAACGCGUGGGAAUCUACCUAAUUCUACGGAACAACAGUUGGAAACGACUGCUAAUACCGUAUACGCCCUACGGGGGAAAGAUUUAUCGGAAUUAGAUGAGCCCGCGUAAGAUUAGCUAGUUGGUGGGUAAUGGCCUACCAAGGCGACGAUCUUUAGCUGGUCUGAGAGGAUGAUCAGCCACACUGGGACUGAGACACGGCCCAGACUCCACGGGAGCAGCAGUGGGAAUAUGGACAAGUGGGCGCAAGCCUGAUCCAGCCAUCGACCGCGUAGAGUGAUGAAGGUCCGUUAGGGUGUAAAGCUUCGUUUCGAGGUGGGAAGUAGUAAGUGACGGUACCCAGAAGAAGAACGUCCCCGG